CCCCUAGACGUUCUGGGCUGCACGCGCGCUACAAUAAUACGCACAGCGAGUAUCACCGAGCUCGAAAGGGCAAGGUAAACAAUAGAAAAGGUACUGUAAUGGUUAUAGAUCCUUGUAAUUAUUGAUCUUCAACGAGGAAUUCCUAGUAAGUAUGUGUCAUCAUCACGCACUGAUUACGUCCCUGCCCUUUGUACACACCGCCCGUCGCUCCUACCGAUUGAGUGGUCCGGUGAGGCUUUGGGAUCUGAGCAAAAAGAGCGUUUCGCUCGUUUGGCUCGGAAAACUCAGUCGAACCUUAUCAUUUAGAGGAAGGAGAAGUCGUAACA
rnacentral:rRNA from 1 species